AAAAAAUGUACUUGAUGUUGAUCAAAUACCUUUUAUGUUAGUAUUUUUUAAAGGUUAAUUUUAAUGGUUAUUUUGUCUUUUUGGAUUAAUAAUUAUGCAUCAACUAUAAAUACAAUAAAUUAAACUAAAAAAUAAAGCAAUAAAAAAGGUAAAAGAAAUAACAUAAGGGAGGGGAUACACUAUCAACGCAAGAGAUAAAAG
rnacentral:lncRNA from 1 species